rnacentral:rRNA from 1 species
AUACGGAGGAUGCGAGCGUUAUCCGGAUUUAUUGGGUUUAAAGGGAGCGUAGGUGGGAUAUUAAGUCAGCUGUGAAAGUUUGGGGCUCAACCUUAAAAUUGCAGUUGAUACUGGUUUCCUUGAGUACGGUACAGGUGGGCGGAAUUCGUGGUGUAGCGGUGAAAUGCUUAGAUAUCACUCAGAACACCGAUUGCGAAGGCAUCUGACGAAUCCGUCACUGACGCUGAGGCACGAAAGCGUGGGGAUAGAACAGGAUUAGAUACCCUGGUAUUCCACGCCGUAAACGAUGAUGACUAACCGUCGGCGAUAGACAGCCGGUGGCCAAGCGAAAGCGAUAAGUCAUCCACCUGGGGAGUACGUCGGCAACGAUGAAACUCAAAUGAAUUGACGGGG